GCAGAGGUGGGGUACUACUCAAGGACUCUUUAAACAAACAUGAAGUUUAAUUCAAUUGUUUCCUGAGAGGUUGACUUCUUCCAAAAGCCAAAGAAAAUCUCUUACUAAUCCAAAAGACUUUAGGCCCUAUUUGAAGGAAAUGGCCAUGCUGUCUGGCUUCUUGAUGAGUCCCAGUACCCAGCACAGAGCACAGUACACUCUGUCUAAACCACUAAGGCCACAUGUUGGACGGAGGCACUUUCCUGCUGGAAUCCGAUAAAUCACCACACCCAAAUAUAGAAAGAAAAAGGGACACAGAUCAUCCACACCGUGGCCGAAUGUGUGACAUCUUUGCUGAACUCUCUCCGUUCCACCUUGUGGUGGAGGCCUCCAGUCCACCAAACACAGCCCUAGGCGUGUGAACCCUGCCACAAACAUCGGUGCUCUUCCUGCACAGGGCCUGGGACCAACCGUGGCCAGGACAUCAGCUGCUGGAAGCCGAGAGAGUUCAUCUGAGUGGCGAUUUUAUGAUCUGCAGAGUGGAAAGUAAUCAUAAUCCCUUGAGAAGUUUGCAGAAUCGAACCGAAUGUUGAAUGCCAAAGAUCUUCACAAAGCAA
rnacentral:lncRNA from 1 species